CAGCAUCUGUUCCAUGGUUAAUCCACAUCAGCUUUGGCGGUUACACUUCUCAAAAUUCUCACGCUCUCCUCUUUCUCUUCCAAAACGGUUUCUCCUCUUUUUUCAGAACCGGCACAUUCUCUUCACUCACCAUUCUCUUCAAUGCACGGUUACAUUACAUUGACUGUUUGUCUUCCCAUUUUCAAAACGAUUCAAUCUAUCUUCAAUUACCAUUCUCUUCAUCUCCAUUCAACUUUCGCAACCGCCCACAUCCACCUCUGCCUACUCCGCUCUAGAUCAAAACCUGCGUCGCCUGCAACUGCUGAUUUUGCCGUCGUAUCCCCAACACCGACGACUACACCACCGCCACGCAUCAACGAUUGAAACAUGGGCUUAAUUAGAGGCUAAAAUCAGAAACAAAUGGAGGAUAGCAAUAGACCGAAUUCCCAUCACAAGGGUCUCCGACCAAAAUCACCUAAGGGUCUUCGAACCGGUUAAAUCGGCACUGCUGAUAAAAAGAUAAGUGUAUUUACUUACAACUGGUACCAUUACAUCAAUUCUAUUAUGUAAUUGUUAAAACUGUUCUUUCAUAAACUUAAUGAAUCUCUGUCUUGAUGUAAAUUCAGUGGUAAAUCAAAGAAAGUUAAUCUGAUUGCCCCACUCCGAAGCCAACGUUCAAUUCAUCCAAUAGAAGAAUCAACAUAAUUCAGCAGUGAAGUCACAAUUGAUGUUGCAAUUGAAUACAAAUUUUGAUUUGGCAAUGUUUAAUGGAGAAAUCCUAUGUCAGGAAUGUAGUUGGCUAUGUUAGUCCAACCUAUGGCGCUUCCACACCCAUCCGAGGAUCCCAUUCAAAUACCAAUGAUCAUUCCUUUGAAGUUUCUGCAUCUGUCUUUUUCCUUUUAAAAACUUAAUAAAAGUGUUAGUUGUAGAAGUUGCUAUAGCUGUGCGUAGUAUUUUUUGAAGUUCUAUAUAACCAGUAUCAUUAUGAGCAUGAUGCUGAUUUUGUUCAUAUAAAGAUGUUGCGCAACAAUACUUUCGUUACAGUGAAUGAUGCUUUCUCUCAGACUGGAAUCAUUGAUCCUUUUGCUAAGCGUCAUAUAACAUCUUCCCACGCUGUUCCUUUAGGCGGUGUUGGUGUAGGAAGUAUUGGAAGAAGUUUUAAAGGUGAGUUUCAGCGUUGGCAGCUAUUCCCUCUCGCAAGUGAAGACAAACCAGUAAAAUAAAAUGACAGUAAUGUUGCAUUCAGAUGUAGAGGCUCGCAUUGGAGCACACCUUAAAUUUUCUGUACUUCUAUUACCAAAUUCCUUCCAUACACAUGAAGUUUCUUCGCCGCGGUCCAGAUAUCUAGAUCAACGCAGCAAAAAGAAUUCCCAUACUGCAGCUGCAUCC